GGCGCUAUGUAGUUUCUGUAUACCGUCAGAUGUAUGAAUGUGAUGGAAGCUAAAGAAGUAUGUAAGGAGCGCAGUAGGUGGCGCUCUGUAGUUUCUGUAUACCAUCAGAUGUAUGAAUGUGAUGGAAGCUAAAGAAGUAUGUAAGGAGCGUAGUAGGUGGCGCUCUGUAGUUUCUGUAUACCAUCAGAUGUAUGAAUGUGAUGGAAGCUAAAGAAGUAUGUAAGGAGCGUAGUAGGUGGCGCUCUGUAGUUUCUGUAUACCAUCAGAUGUAUGAAUGUGAUGGAAGCUAAAGAAGUAUGUAAGGAGCGUAGUAGGUGGCGCUCUGUAGUUUCUGUAUACCAUCAGAUGUAUGAAUGUGAUGGAAGCUAAAGAAGUAUGUAAGGAGCGUAGUAGGUGGCGCUCUGUAGUUUCUGUAUACCAUCAGAUGUAUGAAUGUGAUGGAAGCUAAAGAAGUAUGUAAGGAGCGUAGUAGGUGGCGCUCUGUAGUUUCUGUAUACCAUCAGAUGUAUGAAUGUGAUGGAAGCUAAAGAAGUAUGUAAGGAGCGUAGUAGGUGGCGCUCUGUAGUUUCUGUAUACCAUCAGAUAUAUG